CGCAGAAAUUAAUGACGUCACUAUUCGUGCAGUAAGUUGAUGGGGUCCCAGGUUAUUUUGUCCCGGGACUACGUCAACUACUAGCACGCGCAGUGACAGAACAACAUCAAAAUG
rnacentral:precursor_RNA from 9 species